ensembl:lncRNA
GGAACAGUAUGGGACUGAGCAUGUAGCCUUGGCAGAGAGCUAUUCCACAGGCAGGGAAUGGACAUUGCGAAGGACGCGAGCCCUCCCUCCCGCCUAUGGUACCGGUACCGGUACCGGGCUGGCAGGGAAGAGACCCCGGAAGGGGGACGCAGGGCAGCGCCAGGGACAACGCAGCCGGUGUGUCCUGAUCUCCUCAGACAUGGAUGGCAGGGCCUGGGGCUCCAAGGCUCACUGGCUCCCACGUCUGGCGUUCAGUGCUGGCAGAGGCUGGGAUCUCGGUCACACCCACACAUGGCCUUUCUGCUCUUUCCCUAGAACCUAGUCAGAGAAGAGAGAUGCUGUUUAUUGGACUUUCUCAACAUCUUGUUGAAGAUGGCUGGUUUUCAGUGCCCCACUACAUCCUGGAUCAGAUCUAACUAGGAAGGGAGUCUUAAAAAAGAAAACUUUGUUCUACUUCUCAAAACUAUGGCCUGGCAAGGACCCAGACAUCAUUAAGGAAACAACCUCAGCUCAACAACCUUGGUAACAGGAAACAACCUCAGGAAUACAACAGAUUGCUGGGAGAUGUGAAUACAUCAAAAGUACAGGGACUGAGCAGGAUCGCCUAGGUUACAAAUAAAUAAAUAAAAUCUCCAAAU